GUUAUAGUUAUGUAAUUCGAUGCACACCUUAUUUUGAAGGAGGAGAUGUGGGUUAAAAUCCUUCCUAUAAUU
rnacentral:tRNA from 1 species